UGCAGUCGAGCGCACCCUUCGGGGCGAGCGGCGGACGGGUUAGUAACGCGUGGGAACAUACCCUUUUCUAUGGAAUAGCCUUUGGAAACGAAGAGUAAUACCAUAUACGCCCUUCGGGGGAAAGAUUUAUCGGAGAAGGAUUGGCCCGCGUAAGAUUAGAUAGUUGGUGGGGUAAUGGCCUACCAAGUCUACGAUCUUUAGCUGGUUUUAGAGGAUGAUCAGCAACACUGGGACUGAGACACGGCCCAGACUCCUACGGGAGGCAGCAGUGGGGAAUCUUAGACAAUGGGCGCAAGCCUGAUCUAGCCAUGCCGCGUGUGUGAUGAAGGCCUUAGGGUCGUAAAGCACUUUCGCCAGAGAUGAUAAUGACAGUAUCUGGUAAAGAAACCCCGGCUAACUCCGUGCCAGCAGCCGCGGUAAUACGGAGGGGGUUAGCGUUGUUCGGAAUUACUGGGCGUAAAGCGUACGUAGGCGGAUCAGAAAGUAGGGGGUGAAAUCCCGAGGCUCAACCUCGGAACUGCCUCCUAAACUCCUGGUCUUGAGUUCGAGAGAGGUGAGUGGAAUUCCAAGUGUAGAGGUGAAAUUCGUAGAUAUUUGGAGGAACACCAGUGGCGAAGGCGGCU
rnacentral:rRNA from 1 species